CUGAAAGUCUAACCUCUUUUGGUGAUGACAAAUUUCUUCCUCUUUUGAAGCUGUGGUAGAAAAAAGAAGAAGAGGGAUUGAAAUCGGCAAGGUUCUAAAGUUUGAUUGAAAUCAGUAAGGUUCGAAAGUUUGAAGCUGUGGUAGAAAGGAGAAGAAGAGGGAUUGAAAUGGUUCUAAAUAUUGUUCACUGGAAUAUCUAGGAAAGAAGAAUAAUGACUGAAAUUGAUCACCUUAGUGACUUGGUCAUGCUCAAUUUUGUGGUGUACUGAUGA
rnacentral:lncRNA from 1 species